rnacentral:rRNA from 1 species
ACGUAGGGUGCAAGCGUUAAUCGGAAUUACUGGGCGUAAAGCGUGCGCAGGCGGUUAUGUAAGACAGAUGUGAAAUCCCCGGGCUUAACCUGGGAACUGCGUUUGUGACUGUAGGGCUUGAGUGCGGCAGAGGGGGGUGGAAUUCCACGUGUAGCAGUGAAAUGUGUAGAGAUCCGGAGGAACACCAGAGGCGAAGGCGACACCCUGGGCCGUACCUGACGCUAAGACGCGACAGCACGGGGAGCGAACGG